rnacentral:rRNA from 1 species
GAUAAACGCUAGCGGCAGGCUUAACACAUGCAAGUCGAGGGGCAGCAUAGGGGUAGUAAUACUCCGGUGGCGACCGGCGGACGGGUGCGUAACGCGUAUGCAACCUACCUGUAACAGGGGGAUAAUCCGGAGAAAUCUGGUCUAAUACCGCAUAAUAUUUGAUAUGGCAUCAUAUUGGAUUGAAAACUGAGGUGGUUACAGAUGGGCAUGCGUUGUAUUAGCUAGAUGGUGGGGUAAUGGCUCACCAUGGCGACGAUCGGUAGCCGAACUGAGAGGUUGAUCGGCCGCAUUGGGACUGAGGCACGGCCCAGACUCCUACGGGAGGCAGCAGUGGGGGAUAUUGGUCAAUGGGGGAAACCCUGAACCAGCAAUGCCGCGUGAGGGAAGACGGUCUUCGGAUUGUAAACCUAAGUUAUCGGGGAAGAAGUGCGCCGCAAGGCGCAUUGACGGUACCCGAAGAGAAAGCUCCGGCUAACUACGUGCCAGCAGCCGCGGUAAUACGUAGGGAGCGAGCGUUGUCCGGAUUUACUGGGUGUAAAGGGUGCGUAGGCGGGGAUGCAAGUCAGUCGUGAAAUACCGGGGCUCAACUCCGGGGCUGCGAUUGAAACUGCAUUUCUUGAGUGAAGUAGAGGCAGGCGGAAUUCCGUGUGUAGCGGUGAAAUGCGUAGAUAUACGGAGGAACACCAGUGGCGAAGGCGGCCUGCUGGGCUUCAACUGACGCUGAGGCACGAAAGCAUGGGGAGCAAACAGGAUUAGAUACCCUGGUAGUCCAUGCCGUAAACGAUGAUUGCUAGGUGUGGGGGGACUGACCCCUUCCGUGCCGGAGUAAACACAAUAAGCAAUCCACCUGGGGAGUACGGCCGCAAGGCUGAAACUCAAAGGAAUUGACGGGGGCCCGCACAAGCAGUGGAGUAUGUGGUUUAAUUCGACGCAACGCGAAGAACCUUACCAGGUCUUGACAUCCAACUAACGAAGCAGAGAUGCAUCAGGUGCCUUUCGGGGAAAGUUGAGACAGGUGGUGCAUGGUUGUCGUCAGCUCGUGUCGUGAGAUGUUGGGUUAAGUCCCGCAACGAGCGCAACCCUUGCUAUUAGUUGCUACAUUCAGUUGAGCACUCUAAUGGGACUGCCGUUGACAAAACGGAGGAAGGUGGGGACGACGUCAAAUCAUCAUGCCCCUUAAGACCUGGGCUACACACGUACUACAAUGGCCGUCAACAAAGGGCAGCAACGUCGCGAGGCGAAGCGAAUCCCAAAAAGCGGUCUCAGUUCGGAUCGCAGGCUGCAACCCGCCUGCGUGAAGUUGGAAUUGCUAGUAAUCGCGGAUCAGCAUGCCGCGGUGAAUACGUUCCCGGGCCUUGUACACACCGCCCGUCACACCAUGGGAGCCGGUAAUGCCCGAAGUCAGUAGCCUAACCGCAAGGAGGGCGCUGCCGAAGGCAGGAUUGGCGACUGGGGUG